ACUGGUGUUGGACAGCAGCUUGGC
rnacentral:piRNA from 1 species